rnacentral:rRNA from 1 species
UACGUAGGGUGCGAGCGUUAAUCGGAAUUACUGGGCGUAAAGCGUGCGCAGGCGGUUUUGUAAGCCAGGUGUGAAAUCCCCGGGCUUAACCUGGGAACUGCAUUUGUGACUGCAUCGCUGGAGUGCGGCAGAGGGGGAUGGAAUUCCGCGUGUAGCAGUGAAAUGCGUAGAUAUGCGGAGGAACACCGAUGGCGAAGGCAAUCCCCUGGGCCUGCACUGACGCUCAUGCACGAAAGCGGGGGGAGCAAACAGG